rnacentral:rRNA from 1 species
GACGGAGGGGGCAAGCGUUGUUCGGAUUCAUUGGGCGUAAAGGGCUCGUAGGCGGACAGGUAAGUCUGGCGUGAAAUCUCCACCACUCAACGGGGAGAGGUCGUCGGAAACUGCUUGUCUGGAGUACGGUAGAGGACCAUGGAAUUCCGCGUGUAGCAGUGAAAUGCGUAGAUAUGCGGAGGAACACCGAUGGCGAAGGCAGCUAGCUGGACGAGAUCCGACGCUCAGGCUCGAAAGUAUGGGGAGCAAAAAGG